rnacentral:rRNA from 1 species
AUAUUUAGGUUUAUAGGUUAGGGAGGGCGUGUCGCGUGGCGUGUAUAGUAGUGACACGAGACCAAGAGGCAAGCAUAAACCGAAGCAACGAUCCUAGAGCGGAUUCGAAGAACCGGUACUUUCCUCUGCCCGUUCGCUAGCCGUAGUUAGAGCCGCUUUGGAUGAGUACACAGCCUCAGACCGCCCCACCAGCACACCUCUAACAGCGGUUGUCGGUUCCGUUGGCGUGGUGCGGCAGGAAACAGCGGAAGUGGCUGUGUGUCUCCGAGCAGCCGCUCCGCCGGUUUUUAGUCGAUUCUUCUUUGUGUAGGUUGUGGCAGAUACUACAUUUGGCCGAGUAACGGGCCUCAAAGAUACUGCACAGGAACCUCUCGCUACGGUUCGUAACCGGUAAAGUCUGCUAGCUUCCGGGGGUGCCGUUCCGGUACUAAUCCCACGCAAUGGAACCGUUCGUGUUCCUGAAGAGCGGCCUCCUCUAGAACCGGUACCACGAACCGUUCUACUUCCUCUGUCGACUCCUGAUGGAACCCUGUUGGUAGUUCUUCCGACAGUAGUGGCAGGGCCGGAUGAAGUUGCCGAGGGUUGCGGCCCGGUGGGUCCUACGACCGCAGGAGCGACCGGAGUUACAGUACGCGUAGUAGUUGCUUGGAUGGCGCUGCCGGUACCGAAUGUUGGUUCUACCCUCCACCUCGUUGUGGGUUCUCUCGUUACACGAGUAGAUACUGAACCCGCCAGCUUGCGAGCUGCAGAGCGAACACCAAUAGUUCCUUUCAUAUAACCUCCAGUUCCGAUCGCGGGCGCUGUGAGUGGAUCCUCCGCUCCUAAAGUGGUUGGCGUACCAACUGGUAAAGCAGUCCCUUAAAUUCUUCUUCUUGGUCUCCCUAUAGUCGCCGCUGUUCUCCCGAGAGGCCGCGGAGUCUCUGAGCACGCUCUCACGGUUCUCCUUCGAGAGGAGGCGCUGGGUCCGGCUGCAGUACCACCUACGGGAAAAACUCCCGUAGCUGUACGUUAGGUAGUAGUUAGCACGGGACAAGCUCGUCGAGUGGUUCCUGGACGACCCCUUUACAUACCGUUGGCAGCUCUACACGAACUACCUACGGUUCUACCUGUCCUGGUUUCACCUGCUACAACACGAGCAGCCUCCUACACCUGCCCUUUAGGUACGUCACGCGGUCUAGGAGUUCACCAAGAAGAUGCUUUUCCUCGGGACGUACCUUUAGUCCGGCCUGCUCCGGCACCGUAUGCCUCGGUGGCAGGUCCGGCGGUAGGAGUGCCCGCUCUAGGAGGACGUAGUCUACCUCCAGUGUGGCGAGAGCAACCCGUAUCUUGAGGUACUCUGACCAGUCUUGUGGUCAAAUUGGUAGUCCCUACUGUACCCUGCAACGUCGUACCUACUUCACCUCUUGGUGUUCAUGUUUCGGCAACUACUUCUCGUGUUCUUCUUCUGUAAGCAACUAGGUUUCACCUGGUUCCUCAGGCACGGUUCCAGGCUCUACUCCUUGCCACUGGUGGUUCUGACGCUUUUUGAACUACGGGACCUGUUCCGGAACGAGCUGCUUUCGCACCUAGGUCAGCUAGAUGGAAAGAGCGAGGAGUUCAAUCAGUGCGUCCUAAAGAGACUUCGAGCUCUUUAGCCGUCCCCGCCCAAACCUCGCCAGAUGUUCCCUCACGAAGGUUCACCAUCGUGGCAACGGCACUUCUUCGAGAAGCUCUCGAAGGUCUAGGACCUGUUCUUAAAGGCCUCGCUCUAGCGGACAGAGUACCCCCAGUUCGUGUUCUUAUAGCAUGCCAAACAACCUAUGACGAGACUAUGCGUCGUGCACUAGUCCGGCAUGCUGCCCUUCGAACAGACCCGUCUCCACGCCGUUUCCGAAGAGACAAUGCUCAUGGACGUGUUUCCCACGGAACGACUGAUAGAGAGACUACGUAGAACAGCUGGAUACACCUGGUAUCUAAUAGUUUAUUAAUUCCCCUAGACACUCCCACAUGUAAUAGAAGUAGUUGUAGCAUAAUAAGUGUACCUAGAGUUCGGAGUCUUGUAUGAUAACCUACUAUUGUAGCACGGUUCUGAAUAACUAAAGCCAGAUAGUGCCGCGAAUCUACUUUCGUUCUCAGCCCGAUAAUGAUAUUCGUGCCAACCCUGCUCCCCUAUAUACCGUGGCCUUAAGUAUCUACUGCCUCUUUAAUGGAAGUUUUGUCUGUAUAUAUCAAACCCGUAGUAUUAAUACCUCUAGGAAUGCUCUGCAUUCUUCGCGAGGUUAAACUUCCUCCAUCAACUUACAACCUACUUGUUCAAGCCCCGUAGUCUCUCGGUCUGUUGUGACUUGGUUCAUUUUCAUACACGACUCUAUCCUUAUUUUACGUGUUUGGUACUGGGCAACUUGUCCGGACUAUGUAACAGAUAGUAGGUACUUAAAGUUUAAACGUCGUUACUCAACUUCGACUUCUUACUAAGACGACGUGGCAGGGUUAAUAUCGGUAGCCGUAGUCGGUGACCUCCGCCUCAUCCUCCUACCUUUGUUAGUCUAAACGUGUUUGAUUUAGAACCGGCACCUUACCUUUAAUAGUAUUUACAUUGAGUGUGACUUGAAAUACAUGAAUGACGAUGAGUACCUAUAAUAUAUAAGCAUGGCUGAGUGCGGUCAACUGUACAAAAAAGAACUGGCUGUUGUUCUCUCUGUCUGUUACUUUGGUUGAAGGCAUGUUAGAUUUGCUACCUGUAUCACACACUGUUCCUAAAAUUAAAAAAACUAUUUCUCUCGAGGGAGAGGCUAAAGUUAAUCUUCUUUGGUGUCACAGAAGUAAUGAAGUUUGACCUUUAUUUUCUUGCGAUGCGUUCUCCGUACGCGACGGCACUCUCUUCCUCGGCCAAAUUAGUCUUAACAAAGAUAUACAAACCCUAUACUACUAGAACUAAGAUCUUUCUCUUAUCUGUUAUACUCUACUCUUCUCUACCCAGACGCACCUUCCGCCCUUCCG